rnacentral:rRNA from 1 species
GAUGAACGCUGGCGGCGUGCCUAAUACAUGCAAGUUGAGCGAACAGACGAGGAGCUUGCUCCUCUGACGUUAGCGGCGGACGGGUGAGUAACACGUGGAUAACCUACCUAUAAGACUGGGACAACUUCGGGAAACCGGAGCUAAUACCGGAUAAUAUAUUGAACCGCAUGGUUCAAUAGUGAAAGACGGUUUUGCUGUCACUUAUAGAUGGAUCCGCGCCGCAUUAGCUAGUUGGUAAGGUAACGGCUUACCAAGGCAACGAUGCGUAGCCGACCUGAGAGGGUGAUCGGCCACACUGGAACUGAGACACGGUCCAGACUCCUACGGGAGGCAGCAGUAGGGAAUCUUCCGCAAUGGGCGAAAGCCUGACGGAGCAACGCCGCGUGAGUGAUGAAGGUCUUCGGAUCGUAAAACUCUGUUAUUAGGGAAGAACAAAUGUGUAAGUAACUAUGCACGUCUUGACGGUACCUAAUCAGAAAGCCACGGCUAACUACGUG